GGAGUUAGUAAACAUAAAGCCUUGAGAAGACACCGUGCCCAUAGUAUGCAUUGUGAAAAUGUGAGCUCACUCUUUCUCUUAUUUCUACCUAGAUAAAGUCCCCACUGAAGUUGUCUUGAAGAGUGAAAGUGACUUUUGCAAAGAUUACGUGAGCCGGACUUUGCCUGCUCUCUCCCGGAAUUCUGUUCCCUGCCCAACACAAUUCUAUGAUUGGCACAUGAUCAAGAGACCCAACAGAGGGACUUCUAUCAGGGAAGACCGAAGACAUUGGUUGGCACAUUUGCUACUUUUCCUGAAACCUUCUUUUCCCUGUGGUGUGCCAGAUUGGUGAGGAUGCGAAUCACUGUGCACUGCCUGACUUUUCCAAGCCAGGAGUAAACUGCUAUGCAUCCUCCAGCUGCAAGGGAUUGAACGCUAUCAACAACCAUAUGAAUGGAGAAGCGGUUGCUUCCCUAGCUGAGCCUCAGGUAAGAACCCAGACCUGGCCAACACCUUAAUGGCAGCUUUGUGAAACCCUAA
rnacentral:lncRNA from 1 species